UUGUUGUUGUUGCUAUUUCUUGGGCCGCUCCCGCGGCAUAUGGAGGUUCCCAGGCUAGGGGUUGAAUCGGAGCUGUAGCCACCGGCCUUUGCCAGAGCCACAGCAACGCAGGAUCCGAGCCGCGUCUGCAAUCUACACUACAGCUCAUGGCAACGCCGGAUCGUUAACCCACUGAGCAAGGGCAGGGACCGAACCCGCAACCUCGUGGUUCCUAGUCGGAUUCGUUAACCACUGCGCCACGACGGGAACUCCCUCGAUUCGUUUUUAGUUGAUGUCUGUUUGGUUGAUUGGUUGGCUUAUUUGUUUUUUAGUAAUGAUCAAUGUGUGAUCCAUGCAAACAGCUUAUUGUAUUUUGCCCUUUCCUCAGAGUUUUGUAACCCAACUUGGCAGUUCAGUGAGGAGCAAUUGCUCAACAAACAUGAAAAUGAUGGUUGCUUAUUGUUGGUGUUUAAUCUAAUUAUUAAAAAAAUUCAAUAAACACUUUCAUAGAUGCUCAAAAUUUCCAGUCAGUGCACAUCCCUUGAGACAGGGCUGGUAGCAAGAAGUAGCUUGUCAGAGACAGUUUAAAGAGGGAAAAUUAUUUUUGAAGAAAGUCAUGAAGCCAUAUAAUAUUAGUUUAAUUGAUAUUAGGGUUCUGGGGUUAAACACACUUUCUGCAUUAGUAACCAUUUUAUUUCACAUUGUUCCUGUCUGGCCUUUUUUUUAAAUUCUCAAUGCCAGGAAAAAAACAGUAAUAGUGAAUAUCGUGGCAUUUGAAAUUUAAAAUAUUUAUACAAGCAGUUUUCUUUUUAAUAAGACAGACAUAGUUUGUUUGUAAACUAAGAUUUUUUUUUCAUUUAUUCUAUUAUUCCCAGUGUUAUUUUUCUUUUUUUAAUUAAAGUGUAAUAGUUAAUUUACAAUGUUUCUUCAAGUUCUGUCGUACAGCAAAGUGACCCAAUCACAUACAUUUUCCUGUGCUAUACAGUAGGACCCCAUUGUCUAUCUGUUCCAAAUAUAACAGUUUGGAUCCAAAAAAACCCAAAAUACCCAUCCAUUCCACUCCCUCCCCCUGGGAACCCCAAGUCUGCUCUCCUUGACCAUGAUCUGUUUCUGUUUUUUAGAUAGGAUCAUCUGUUUAAUAUUUUAGAUCCCACAAAUAAGUGAUAUCAUAUGGUAUUUGUCUUUUUCUUUCAGGCUUACUUCACUUAGUAUGAGACUCUCUAGUUCCAUCCAUGUUGCUGCAAAUGGCAUCAGUUUGUCUUUUUAUGGCUAAGUAAUAUUCCAUUGUAUAUAGUUACCACAUCUUCUUAGGCCUCUCAUCUGUUGAUGGACAUUUAUGUUGUUUCCAUGUCUUGGCUAUUGUAAAUAGUGCUGCAGUGACCAUAGUGGUGCAUGUACUUUUUCAAUGAAAUUUUUGUCUAGAUAUAUGCCAAGGAAUGGGACUGCUGGUUCAUAUGGUAGUUCCGUAUUUAGUUUUCUGAGCUAUCUCCAUACUCUUUUCCAUAGUGGUUGUACCAGUUUACAUUCCCACCAGCAGUGGAAUGUGAAGGAGGGUACUUCUUGUCCACACACUCUCCAGCAUUUGUUAUUUGUUGACUUAUUAAUGAUGGCCAUUCUGAGUGGUGUGAGGUGGUACUUCAUUGUAGUUUUGAUUUGCAUUUCUUUUAGUAAUUACUGAUGUUGAACAUUUUUUCAUAUGCUUAUUGGCCAUUCAUAUGGCUUCUUUGGAGAAAUGUCUAUUUAGGUCUUCUACCCAUUUUUCAAUUGGGUUUUUUGCAUUUUUGUUGUUGAGUUGCAUGAGUUGUUUGUAUAUUUUGGAGAUUAGGCCCUUGUCUGUUUUAUCAUUUGCAAAGAUUUUUCUCCCAUUCUGUAGGUUUUCUCUUCAUUUUUUUAAUGGUUUCCAUUGCUGUGCAAAAACUUUUGAGUUUAACUAUUUAGUCUUUACCUACUCUUCAGCAAUAUAGUUUACCCACAAUGGUUUUCUUAAGAAGAGGAUCAAAACCGAAAUCACUUUAAGUUUCUGUUGUGCCUCAGUGGGUUAAGGAUGCAAAGUUGUCUCUGCAAGGAUGUGGGUUCAAUCCCUGACCUCUCAGUAGGUUAAGGAUUAGGAGGUGCCAUAAGCUGCAACAUAGGUCACAGAUGUUGCUCAGAUCCUGUGUUGCCAUGGCUGGGGUGUAGACCACAGCUAUGGCUCCAAUUCAACCCCUGGCCCAGGAAAUUCCAUGGGCAGCACAUGAGGUUAUUAAAUAAGUAAAUAAAUAAAUAAGCAACACAGUUUUUCUCUUUUCUUCUUUUUUUCUUUUCAGGGCUACACCCCUGGCAUAUGGAGGUUCCCAGGUAAGGGGUCAAAUUGAAGCUGCAUCUGCAGGUCUACACCAUAGCCACAGCAACACAGGAUCUGAGCCUUGUUUGCAAACUAUACCACAGCUCAAGGUAACACCAGAUCUUUAAUUCCCUGAUGUAGGCCAGGGAUAAAACUUGCAUCCUCAUGGAUACUCAUUGGUUUCACUACUGCUGAGCCACAACUCCAGAAAAAAAUUUAAAUAAUUUUUAAAUAAAAAUAAAAAUGAAAUCACUGUGAUAAUUUUUUUUUUUUUGCUUUUUUUAGGGCCACACCUGUGGCAUAUGGAAGUUCCCAGGCUAGGGAUCGAAUCGGAGCUAUAGCCGCUGGCCUGUGCCACAGCCACAGUAAUGCAGGAUCCGAGCCAUGUCUGUGACCUACACCACAGCUCAUGGCAAUGCCAGAUUCCCAAUCCACUGACUGAGGCCAGGGAUUGAACCUGAAUCCCCAUGGAUCCUAGUUGGGUUUGUUACCUGCUGAGCCACGAAAGGAACUCCUAAACGAUAAACUUAAAUUUGACUCAAACAAGUAUCAGAGAAUGUCAAAGCAUAGCAUAAGUUUGAGAUUAUUUUUAUCCCUUCUGGUACUCAUUCUCCAGGCUAUAGAGAUUUUUUUACUCAAUUUUUCAGCAGAAUACAGAAAUAGCCUAAACACUGGGAAGAGCCUAAAGAAGGUACAUGUAAAGAUUCAUACAUGAUGAUAUGCAGGCAGAGUGGGGAAUGUGGUACCAGCCUGGGCAGGAAAAGACACACUAUUAUGUAGCCAGAUACUCCUCUGAGUGGCUGGGCAUUAAGCCUAAAGCAGGUAACCAGAGAGUGACAGCUUGGUGGGAGCCC
rnacentral:lncRNA from 1 species